rnacentral:piRNA from 1 species
UGAACUACCUCCUGAAUUGCUGUGACC